CCUACGGGAGGCAGCAGUGAGGAAUAUUGGUCAAUGGGCGAGAGCCUGAACCAGCCAAGUCGCGUGAAGGAUGACUGCCCUACGGGUUGUAAACUUCUUUUGUCAGGGAGCAAUUCAGUCCACGUGUGGGCUUAGCGAUAGUACCUGUAGAAAAAGCAUCGGCUAACUCCGUGCCAGCAGCCGCGUUAAUACGGAGGAUGCGAGCGUUAUCCGGUUUUAUUGGGUUUAAGGGGUGCGUAGGGGGAAUGUCAAGUCAGCGGUAAAAAGUCGGGGCUCAACCCCGACGUGCCGUUGAAACUGGUGUUCUUGAGUGGGCGAGAAGUAUGCGGAAUGCGGGGUGUAGCGGUGAAAUGCAUAGAUAUCACGCAGAACUCCGAUUGCGAAGGCAGCAUACCGGCGCCCAACUGACGCUGAAGCACGAAAGCGUGGGUAUCGAACAGGAUUAGAUACCCUAGUAGUC
rnacentral:rRNA from 1 species